UACGUAGGGGGCUAGCGUUGUCCGGAAUCAUUGGGCGUAAAGAGCGUGUAGGCGGCCCGGUAAGUCCGCUGUGAAAGUCGGGGGCUCAACCCUCGAAUGCCGGUGGAUACUGUCGGGCUAGAGUGCGGAAGAGGCGAGUGGAAUUCCUGGGUGUAGCGGUGAAAUGCGCAGAUAUCAGGAGGAACACCAAUUGCGAAGGCAGCUCGCUGGGACGUAACUGACGCUGGAGACGCGAAAGCGUGGGGAGCAAACAGG
rnacentral:rRNA from 1 species